UGUGCUAAAUCUGAGUAAAUACAUUGCCCAAUAUCUCACACAAGUGACUCAUAGAUAGCAGGUUAAUUAGCAUACUAUGCUGUAUAAAAGGAGAAGGAGAAGGAGAGGAGAGUAAAGGAAGCUCAACACACCUAAAGGAAAUACAAUCAGUUGUUGAACAUCGCAUAAUCCCACCACAUAGACGAGUCUUUGGUGAUUUCUUCUUCUAUUGUUGGAACGACAGAUCAAAAGACUCCUGAAGAAAGAAAAAAUGGAAAGCUGUAUGUUUUUCUCUCCUUCUCCUGCUGCUGGCAUGUAGCUUUGGAGAGGGCCUGAGAUGCAACCGUUGUAUUGGCAAAGGCUGCAGAAACACAGGAGACCUGCCGUAUUGACCAUGACACCCUGCGGCACGCU